CACGCUGCCACCUGCCACCCAGAAAAUGUGGCUCCUCACUCACUAAGAGGGAGGGAAAGCCAUCAGCAAGGUACCAGGCGUUCUUUAGAGUCUCCAGGAAAGUGCAGAGUUGGCGACAGCUCAAAUUUCAGAUGGAUACCACGAAUAUGGGUCAGGUUUUAGUAAGAUGUAAAUGCGUUGGCAUGGAAAUGCGGAGAAGAUCAAUUGUUCCCUGAAAACUCAUGCUGAAGAGGAGGCUCUACGGUUCAAUCCACUUUAGCAAAAACAAACAAAAAUAAAAUUUAAUUCCAAAUUGC